GUCGAGCGCACUGGCCCAACUGAUAUGACGUGCUUGCACUGAAUUGACGUUGGAUUCCCAGUGAGCGGCGGACGGGUGAGUAACACGUGGGCAACCUGCCCUGAAGCGGGGGAUAACAUCUGGAAACAGGUGCUAAUACCGCAUAACAACGAAAACCACAUGGUUUUCGUUUCAAAGAUGGUUUCGGCUAUCACUUCAGGAUGGGCCCGCGGUGCAUUAGCUAGUUGGUAAGGUAACGGCUUACCAAGGCGAUGAUGCAUAGCCGAGUUGAGAGACUGAUCGGCCACAAUGGAACUGAGACACGGUCCAUACUCCUACGGGAGGCAGCAGUAGGGAAUCUUCCACAAUGGGCGCAAGCCUGAUGGAGCAACACCGCGUGAGUGAAGAAGGGUUUCGGCUCGUAAAGCUCUGUUGUUGGAGAAGAACGUGCGUGAGAGUAACUGUUCACGCAGUGACGGUAUCCAACCAGAAAGUCACGGCUAACUACGUGCCAGCAGCCGCGGUAAUACGUAGGUGGCAAGCGUUAUCCGGAUUUAUUGGGCGUAAAGCGAGCGCAGGCGGUUGCUUAGGUCUGAUGUGAAAGCCUUCGGCUUAACCGAAGAAGUGCAUCGGAAACCGGGCGACUUGAGUGCAGAAGAGGACAGUGGAACUCCAUGUGUAGCGGUGGAAUGCGUAGAUAUAUGGAAGAACACCAGUGGCGAAGGCGGCUGUCUGGUCUGCAACUGACGCUGAGGCUCGAAAGCAUGGGUAGCGAACAGGAUUAGAUACCCUGGUAGUCCAUGCCGUAAACGAUGAGUGCUAGGUGUUGGA
rnacentral:rRNA from 2 species